GUCGAUUUGGUGGAGGAUGACUUUACUCUUCGAGAGACGGCGAAGAUACACAUCUGUGACGAUGUUGGGUUGACCUCUGAGGCCCCACAACUGGAAGAGGCGAAUGCAGGCGUGCUGGUGUGUCCCGAGUGGGAGAUGGUCGUCGAGAGGACACUUGAUGAUGUCUCCAUGUUGGCGAGGUAGGAGGAGGCUUCAUCUUAGGCCGGUAGCGGAUGCUUCUCCGUCAGUCGAGGACAGGGGAAAUGACGUCAUCGAUGAGGGCGAUGAGUCAGGUUCCGACAUGGACCCUGACGAUCAUAGGAUGAUCAAUGAGAGGCUCACUCAAAUUGAGAUGAGGAUGGAGGGAGGUUCUAGGACCAUCACGAUCCCAAUGGAUCGUGAUUUACUGUGAAAUACUGAGGAGGUGCUCCCCGCUCUCGGUUCUCUCUGCUCUGACCCCGAGGGUGUGACCCUAAAGGAGAUAACUGACGGUACCUUGUCAAAGAACAUUGCCGGUCUCGCUCUCAGGACGGUCAUUCUGCAAAUUGAAAGUGCUCGGAGGGAGAAGAGACGUAAAGAAAUUUAAGUGAAGUUGAAGGGUAAGUACGAAGAGUAGCGUAGAGAGUACUGGGACCUUCGGAGGCGACUUCGCGAAGAGGGUGACGUGCCGGCCUUGAGAGAAGAACUGAAGAAAAAGGACGAAGAGCUCAUGGUGGCAGUGGAGAGGUUCAGCGUUCUUAAGGGAGCGUUGAAGAGAAAAGAAGAAGAACUCGAGCUAAGUAAGGGCAUGUAGGCCCAAUGCAGCGAUCUUCAAAUUCAGCUGGUUCAACUGCGAAGCCAGUUGGACAGGUGCCAGCUCGAAAUCGACACUCUUAGGGGGGAGGUCGCUGAGAAGCAACAGUUGCUCGAGCAGGCGGAGUCUUCCCGACUGGAUGCUCGGAGAAAGGUUGACAUCCUCGAGCUGGCGAAUAGGACUCUCUGCUCUGAGCGGGAUAAUGUUCUGUCAAUGGCUAGAGCUAAAGAGGAACGGCUUGAGGAGAGGAUUGGGGAACUGGACAAGGAAAACUCUGAGCUGCAUGAUCGAGUUGCUGCUCUUGAGGCCGAGAAAGCCUAGCUGCUUGCGCGAUCCUCUUCGUCUAAUGCUUCUGAGUAUCCUAACAUUCCUCGGAAGCUGUACGAGGAGUGGAUCCACGCUGAGGCCCGGCUGGAUGUGCUCCGUAAUUUGAAUACGACGGGCUCUAUUUUUGAGGCGGCCUUCGAGGAUGCUCGAGUCAAAGCUCGUGAGGUUCGGCUCGCUUGUGAUUAUGAUCCUGCUACGCCUCAAUCUGGUUCCGAGGAGGAUGAGGAUAAGGAUGAGGGUGUAGACCGGCUUGCGGACGGUGCUUGGUUUGACUCCGCUUACGGCCAAGGCGAGGAUGAAGAGGGCGUCGAAGGCCGGGAUGGUGAUGGCCACUAGUUUUAGUUUUAACUUCUUGUAUUUUUUUUGUUGGCGUCUUCAAGCGCUUUUUGUAAGAACUCUUCGUCUGAAUAUCAAAGUUGUCUUCUGUUUUA